UACAGAGGGUGCAAGCGUUGUCCGGAAUUAUUGGGCGUAAAGAGCUCGUAGGCGGUCUGUCGCGUCGGCUGUGAAAUCCCGAGGCUCAACCUCGGGUCUGCAGUCGAUACGGGCAAACUAGAGUAUUGCAGGGGAGACUGGAAUUCCUGGUGUAGCGGUGAAAUGCGCAGAUAUCAGGGGGAACACCGGUGGCGAAGGCGGGUCUCUGGGCAAUAACUGACGCUGAGGAGCGAAAGCGUGGGGAGCGAACAGG
rnacentral:rRNA from 1 species